rfam:Ovis aries breed Texel chromosome 4, whole genome shotgun sequence.
UCCCUGGUGGCUUAGAUGGUAAAGAAUCUGCCUGCAAUGAAGGAGACCCAGGUUCGAUCUCUUGGUCAGGAAG